rnacentral:rRNA from 1 species
GCGGACGGGUGAGUAACACGUGGAUAACCUACCUAUAAGACUGGGAUAACUUCGGGAAACCGGAGCUAAUACCGGAUAAUAUAUUGAACCGCAUGGUUCAAUAGUGAAAGACGGUUUUGCUGUCACUUAUAGAUGGAUCCGCGCCGCGUUAGCUAGUUGGUAAGGUAACGGCUUACCAAGGCAACGAUGCGUAGCCGACCUGAGAGGGUGAUCGGCCACACUGGAACUGAGACACGGUCCAG